GCAAACCAACAAACAGCUUUAUGUUAACUUUUACAAACUGCCACAUUUUCAGGUUGAACGAUCAGACAUAAAUCUUGGUGAAACUAGAAGUAAUACAACCUGUGCUGUGGAGAUAAAAGAAAGGGCAGCAGCACUGGUGGCUGCAGAAAUUGAGGCAUGUAGAGACAAUAGAACCCCCGAGAUACCUCUGCAUAAGAAAGUCCAGAAAGAGUGGGCUUGUGCUGUAUGCCAGUUCACAACCCAAAGUGAAGUGACCUUCAAUUCCCACCUUCAAGGGAAGAGACAUCAGGCCACUUCUGAGCAGUUGAGAGCCAAAAACCAGGCAACCAAAACCAAUUGUUCCCCAUCUGCUUCAAAGGCCAAGAAAUCUGAUCAGUCCACCAAAGAGGAGCAACCAAAGUGUCCUUCCAACAAUCUGAAUUCCAAAAACAAUGGAAUCUCAGCUGCUUCAACAGUGAAGAAACCUGACGAGACCAAAGAUGAUGAGCAACAAAAGUGUGCAUCCAGCAAUGGACCAAACCAGAAGAAUAACAAAAAGCAAGAGGAGAAGGUGCUAGUUCUUGAGACCAAUGAGCAAGGCCAUCAGAAUAAUUUUGAUCCACGAUCCCACAUUUAUUUUGGGUCUCACAAGUUUCAAAUUUGCAGAAAAAUGAAAGAUGUUUGAGAGAAAAUUAAAUCAUAUUGCACUACUGUUAGGAAAAAUAUGGCUGAAUCCAAUUGCUUUUCUUCUCCAAGUCUAUUAAAAAUAUAAUUUUUUCUCCAUUCCUGACAAAAUUUAAAUUUUUUCCUUAAAAAAAAAAAAAUUAAGUUUGAUCACCUAACACAUCUUUCUAAACUCAAUCUCAACUUGAAAAAUCAAACCUUAAUGGAUGGACUAUAGAAAUAGUGAGAAAACACUUCUGGGGUUUUUUUUUUCUUCCAACAUCAAAUUUUUCUAUAUAUGGGAUUUCACAUGCAAAAGCAGGAGUAGAUUUGCUUGUGUUUGAUGUAUGUAUUAGAAAAAUUUGUCCCUUCUGGGAUGUUUAAUACUUUUCUAUUCUUUUAUAUGCAUGUUUAGCUAGAAGAUAUAGAAUCGAUACCAUUCCUUAAAAGUGAUAGCCACAACUGUGAUAAUUAAACACCAAAGAAUGUGAAGAUCUAUAUAUUCUUUUUUUUUUCCUCUCUCUUUCAAUAAUGAAGCUAAGAUGUGUUGUAAGCAUCAAAUGCAUUGUCUCUGCUUGAAUAUAUACAAAGCCAAGGACCACAAGAUGGAUAGAUAUGGGGACGCACAAAACUUCUCAAACAUGAUUAUAUUAAUCAAGAAUUCAACUAAGCUUAAAUUCAAGAUGUUGAUUUCUAGCAUCUCUGGUGCUAUAGGAUGACUAUUGAUCCUGUACUGUUAUGUGCCCUACUGAUAUAUUCUUCGGGUUGUUAUGUAUAAAUAAAAUUUUUGGGAAAGUUUGCUUGGUGGUUACACUAUCACUAUUUAGGCCAGUAAAAAUUGGAAGCCUUUGUAAAAAACUGAUGGUCCAAGAGCUAUUCUACUUCAUCAUCCAUGUAAUAUGACGAUACAAAUUUGACUAAAUGCAGCUAUAGAAGGCUUAGGACCAUAAACCAAGCCUAGUCGAUGUCACUCACCUAAAUUUAUGCAUAAAGCUUUUGGAUGGCUCAGAGUUAUAUUUAAUUACUGUUAUGUUCGCAACUAUAUUUUCAUUGGAUUUAUAGUCCAGCUUGAGAACUAGUCCUCCAUUGCACAUAAUGUCCACACAAGGCCACAGUGCCCGCUCAAAGGCCAUAGCGCUACUCAAGGAUAUAGUGCUUACUCAAGGCCAUAGAGCCCACCUAAGGCUAACGACCCAAAAGGAGAAAAAGGUUGGUUCCACGUACUCUAAUAUUUACUAGAAAAGGUUCUUCCUAUUAAAGAACAAAAAAUUGCAUUCCCUUGUGACCAAUCCAAACAGUAGACCACUGACUUGUAUAAGGCAUUAUUCACCAUGCAAGCACUUUUUCAGCAACCUACCAUCUGGCAUGAACCAUUUUGGAUUGAUUCACAAAGCAAUGGUGUUAUAUUAAGCAUAUUCAAUAUAGAACCAAAUUGUGCCUCCUUAGAUUAACUAAAAUAUUUCCAUUGCAAGAUGUGCAGAUAGGCAUAUGAUCAUGAAGUAAUUUCCUGAUGAUAAUACCCCACAAAAUAUUUCUUUUUCUCACUGAUCUCUCCUAGAUUUUCAGUUCACCCAUCCAUGGCGCCUGACUAAAAAUGGGGGCAUUUUGGAUACCCCGAGCAGUAAGUUAGCCUGGUAGGCAUCCCGUUGCAAGCAAAGUCAACCCGAGCGGUCCAUUUGACCAAAGCUUAUCCAGGCAGUAAGCGUCCAUAUACAGCUAACUGUUAUGCACCAUCAACAGGUUGAGGUUACAAGAUUAAAGAGUCAUAAUGGCCAAAUGGAAGUUACACGACUCGGCCUAUAUAAUAACAGUAUGACAAAAAAUGCAGGUAUGAAGAACUAUCACUGAAAAAAUUUAUUCCUAAAAAUCCUUUAAGCUCCUUUAAGCUAACUUGGGCAUUGGAGAGGUCUCUCCGAAGCACACUCGAGCUUACCUUUUUGUAAGACAUCGAGAACAAGAGGCAUUGAAGUGAUUGUCCGGAGGGUUGAACUUGGUCGGGAACCAACAAUACACACUAUUCAAAAAUAGGGAUCAUAUUAAAUUAUUAAUGCAACCAUAGGAAGCAAUUGAGGACAAGGGUGUUAUUUGAUUAAAAGGGUAAUUGAAAACCUAAAUUUUGAAAUUUAACCCUCCAUUCUAUUUGGCCUUAUGUGAACAAAAAUGCCUUCAUUAUUUUCUUGUAAAAAUAACUCACCCAUUUAAACCUUACAUGAAAAUACUUAAAAUGGUAAAUGAUAUGUUAAAAAUUGAUUAUUUUUCAAAUAAAACAUAAGAAGGGUCAAAUUCAUGAAAGGAUUAUUUCAUCCCUUUUAAUCAAUUAAUUCGAUUUAUUUCUUUUUAUUUUUUUUCUCUCCAUGUUAAUUUUCACAUCACCCAACAACACCACUCUUAAUUCACACAAGUUUGAAGUUUUUGAAUGAGAUAUAUUCGUAAUUAUAUUGUAAUUGUGUUAUAAUAACCAUUUCGUACUUGGAUUUGUUCUUUCAGUCCAUUUAACCUUUUUGUUUAUUCAUGUCAAAACAAUGUACUUAUAAUCGAAUCCAUUUAUGACAUGUUGAUCUUAUAUAAAUUUAUUAAUUUUAUAUAUUUAAAAAUUAUAAAAAUUAAAUAUACUUUUUCAAUUAUGAAUAUCAUAUUACUAAAAUAUUAAAUAACAAAUUAACUUGAAAUGCUAUAUAUUUCAUUAAUUAUUUUAUAAUUAAAACAUUAAAUGAAAUAAUAAACAAGUAUAAAAUAGAAAAUUCUAUCUUAGUUAGAAAUUAUAAACUGUUAUUGAGACAUAUAAGUAUUAAAAUUCUACCCAUUUCACUACCAAACAACUUAUGUUUUUAGUCAUAAUUUAACCUUAUGAUGAACACUUAAAUAAAAUUUGUCAUCUUUUUCUAUUGAUUUAUAUUUAUUUAUUUAAAAAUUUUGUCUGGCAUAAACUAUCAUCUCACAAAAUCAUCAUUGAUGAGUAGGCUAUGCCCCAGUGUAAGCAUCUCCAAAUCAAACAUCAAUGAGAGGAGUACAACCAAUCAUACAUCAUCUUAUCAAAAUGAAUCUCCGCUUUUCAAAGUCAUCGUGGUAACGUGAAGAGAGUAUUUGACCUCCUCUAAAGAAAAAACAUGUCUUGAUGUGAAAAAGAUCAAGCAAAGUGGUAUGCCUCAACAAAAAUGUGCUCAAACAUGAUCAUGCCCCGAUGUAAGUUAGUAUCUCUAAGAUCAAUCGCCAAUGAAAAGGUUAUUCCCCAGUAUAGGGCAAACUCUGAAAUGACUAAACUCCGUUGCAAGCUCUCAUAAGUGUCUGUGUCAUGAUCCAAUCAUCGCAAAAAUUUGUCAACAAUGAUGAGAAGGCUAUGCUCCUAUAAUCACAUCAAAGAAAUCACUCGGUCAUAUUACUCCAAUGUGAAAGAAAUCUAAUCACCUCCAAGGAACAGCUAUGCCUCAAAACCAUCAUCGACUGAGAGGGGGAUGCCCCUGAUCCAAUCACCACCCUAACUAACGUACCCAUCAUGAGGAACACUUGUUUGAGCUCCAUAAUGGGGAUCAACCAUUAGAUGAACAAGAUUCGAAUAUUACUUGCUCCCCAUUUCAACCAAUGAAUGAUGUACCUGGAAACCUUGUAGACAACCAUAGUUUUCAGCCUUCUUCCUCGCGAUCAUCUAGAACAGAGUCGGUAAGCUUCACUCAUUUCUUAUAAUGGACCUUGACCCACAACGUCGAACUACCUGUAUGCAAAAUUAUCCGUCCAGAAAACCCAUCCAUACAAUUCAGGUUCAAAACCCACAAGAACCACCCUAUGAAUAAACUAAUUAUAGCUGGCUUCGUUGCAAUAGGCAUUAACUUUCUUAUGCUGACAGUCCUAGCAUCAUUUACCAAAGGAUCAACAACUUUUCCAUGUCAGAGAACAUUAUCAAUCACAAUGACACCCCUGGUCCUCACUAGUUGCGAUAGCAAUUUAAAGUAUUCUUGAUUCAAAGGGUAAACAAAACAAAAAAGAAAACCCUAAGUGUGACUCCUUAUUUGAAAAAUGUGGUUUAUGAAAAACCGGAUCGAGCUUAGGGGUCAGGUUACUUAUCGGGAAGGUACAAAAAAAACCGUAGCACCCCUCUAAGUCCCUAAAAUGGGUCUCUAUUGAUAAAAUGAAGCAAUCAUGGCAAUUGGUAAGGAAAUCAUUGAGUAUCAACAUGAUCACACAUUGAGAGUUAAAGCAUGCAUGAGGAAUGGUCAAAGUGAGAAAGGAUGCGUACCUUAGCAACGAGUCCCAAUGCGCUAUCAAGAAAUUGGGUUAGUGCACAAUCAAUAAAUAUAAAAUAUAACACACAUGCAUCACUAAAUAGGGUAAUAAAUCCCCGAUGACAAACCUUGCACUUCACUCAGGUUUAUUUCUACUUCUCUGAUGUUGGGCCCCACCAAAGCUCAUUUUAUUUUGCAUGAAUCAACUCCAAUAACUCCAUUAUUCGGAAUUACGAAAUUUAAUUCUUGCUUAUUUUAAAGCAUUUUAAAAAUAGAGGAGAUAUGAGAAUUGCUCGCCAGAAAAGAAGAUGGCGGCAAAAUUUUAAUGAAAAACGAGUUUUUGGAACCUAAGAAAAAUGUUAAGGAUGGAAAAUUUUGGAGGUUUGAAAUUAAUUAAAAAUUAGAAUUGAGGAAUUUAUUUACAAAAUGGGGUUUAGGAAAAUUAUUUUCAAAAAAAAAAAAUGAUGAAAUGAGAGAUGGCACGUGACACAAGGGUGGCCAUGCUGAAGGCGUUCUCUUCUGGCCCAAGCUGGAAAUGCACUCCAAUUAUCCUUCUUUUCUGGUAUAACACCUUCAUCAAAAUAAAUAGCUUUUGCACCAUACUCUGAUAGACAAGGACCAAUAACAAUGCCUAUAUUUGCCUUAAGUAGACAAAGUAAGUCACCCAUUGAACCUCCAAUAUAAAUUGUCAAGUGCUCUGUGUCAUUACUGCAUCCCUCCUUCAAGAUGUCCUUAGAAACCUAAAGCUUUUCCACGACAUACUCCAUCUUCUUAAUGAUUUCACCCGUGGAAAUGGAUUCUUCACAAGCCAACUCAUUUGAAUAUACUCUCAAAACACCCAUAUCACCUGAUGAAAAUGCUGAUCUAACGAAAUCGCCACACCAACAGUAUGAAAGUCCAUGAACAUCUGCUUUCAGAUUAUUAUUUUUAAGAAUCUUUUGGAAGAAACCUGUGCAACCAUCUUGAAGAAUUAGACCUUGACCAACCUGUUUUAUAUCAUCUGAAUUUAAACCCUUCAAUACUCCAGACUGAGUCACUCUUGAAUCUGCCUUUUCCUCAAAAUCAGAAAGUUGCUCAAGUGCUUUACAUAAGCCUUCAUAAUUGAAUUUUUCCACUGUUUCACUGGGGACGAUGCUUCCCAUGCAUUUUUCAAGCUCUUCAGUAUGCUGGGUAGAUAGAACACCCCAUGUGUGUGUCCAGAUCACCAUGAGUGACCAUUUGAACCUUGACGAAUGAGAGAGUACAUAACAUUUAAGCACACAGGACAUAUAUUAACAUUCUCCAUUAGCUUCUCUUUGCCUUUGUCCACCUCUUGACCUCCCAUGCAGCCAACUGUGAAGACCACGUCCAGGUGCAGUCACGUGGUGACACAUCUCAUGGUCUUCCUCAUCCAAUAAAUCACAUGCUCUGUUAAAUCUGCUACCCGAAUGGAUACCUCCUAUCCAUCAACCUGAAUAUACUCCGAGCUUUCUUCAUAAAACCCAAGAAACUCCAGAAGGCAUCAUGGUUCUCCUCCAUCAUUGAAAUGAUUAGGGAUAGUAAAUCACUCAUCCCUUAGCAAUAUCCCAUUUUUAAACCAUAGGGUGCGUAGGCUUCUAGAAUAGUAGCAAAGUGAGCAACACGGAAAAUCUUGCGUGGAUCCAAGUUCCAUGAUGGUGAUCGUAGCCUCACCUUUGAAAUCACAAGACCCAGAACCCAUUCGUUCUUCCUGGUAAUAACUAUCAGAUGCAUAGGAGGCAGGGUUCUUCAGAUUGUUGAUUUGGUAAAAGCCUCUUCUGGUUGAACCCCUGAAUGAUUCACUUUUCUCAGUCCGCAAACCUAGUUCAGAACAGCCCGCAAGAUCAGAACCUUAACCUAGGCGUGGAGAUCCAGUGUUGUAUAACGCCUCAAUUGUCGGAAGCAGCCAUGGCCCAAACAAUGAUAUAAUGGUCAGCAAGUUGUCCCCAAGGACCAUGACAGUGAUGAGCAUUUCCGGGCAGCGCGUCACCACGUUCCACGUCGCGACGGUAAUGGCUAUGGACUGAGUGUCAUGGUCAGGGAGCUUGAUGAAGCAGGUGAAAAUCUGGUGUUUUAGAUUCUGAGGCAAUGACUGCUUGAUCGGUCGGAUUCUAGUACCGGCGUUACAUUGGGGAGGCAAUCUUAAAGUUCCAACGGAGGUAGUAGUGGACUAAUAUUCCUCAAUAACCAAACUUGAGUUUCUCACUUUCCGCUUCUCAAGGCAUUCACCUGAAACGCUUCAGGCGCCCAAACCCUUUCUGCUCAUCAGUAUAAUCACGCGCAUGAAAGUCUUAACUGCCUUCUAAACUUCACAACUUCAUCUUGCAUCUGGGUCAUCGUCGGCACGAACUUAUCACCUGAUUCAGUUAAUAUCCCCAUAUAACAAGUUCCAAUGAAGUCGCAACUUUGCAUCUUCUUUUCUGCGAUUACUUUGAUUCUCAAAGCCGAUUACUUGUUGCAGUCCAUAGGAGAUUCAAUAAUCAAACAUCAUGCACAAGCAAAAAGGCAACAAAAUACAUCGGCAUGUGGCCCAUACACCCUCCAAAAUCUUCACUCAUUUAGUAAGUUUUAGAUUCAAAAGAGUUAGCCUUCUGGUGAGCAACCCGAUACCCAUAACGAAUGAUGUAUCUGAAACACCUUUCCCACGUGGCCCUUGAAGGAUUCACUAGAAGGUGACCAUGCAUAGUAGGUCUUCACUCGCAGGAGAAUGAGAAGGAAAUAAACCUAAAGGGGGGUUGACAGCGUAGUCUAGAAGGUGAUGAGCUGAGCGGGUGGGGGUAUUAGGGUGGUCAAGUUCAGUGGGUAUGAAGGGUGGAAAGAUGGCAUGAUAGAGGAAUAAGCAGCUGAUAGUGGGUGCGAUGAUAUAAGGUAGGUUGACUAUGGAGAGUAUGGCAUUAAAGGAUGAAGACUUAGAGAGAGAGAGGUGGGUUUAAGGGUAUGGUGAGAUGGAGGGUUGAGGGUGAUAGGCUUGGAUAGUUGCAUGAGGAGGAUGAAAGGUGGGUAUGGAAAAUGUGCAUGGGUAGGAAAUGGGUAUAACAAUGGGUGUGAAUAUUGAGAGGUAGUGAAAUGAAGGCAGCCUUGCUCGUAUGGAUCAGUGUCGGAUUGAGUUAAGAAUGGUGAGAGAAAGGGAUUCGAUGAAUAUUGAAUGAUGGAAAAUGGUGAUUGGUUAGAUAGGGAUUUGUGGUCGAAUGGAAAUAGGAGACAUGAACAUAGAGAUGAGUGUGAUGGAUGAUAGUGGGCAUGAAGGGUAUUGGAUUUGUUCAUGGGUAUAGUGGUUAAAAGAGUGGUGAGAAGAAAAAAAAAUGGCCAUGUAAAUAGCAAUUAUACAUGUGGGCCCGUGAUUGCAAACGGGACUGCAUUGUUGCAUCUCAUGCUGAACCCUCACCUCCUUCUAGGAUCAUUUUCUGCAUCAAAGCUAGAUAAACUUAGAUGGUAUUUCCUGCCAAUUUUGGAUGCCCCCCACUUUGGAAAUAUUUCCUUUUCACCCAUCAGAAUAUGCUUAUCAGGUGUACUUGACUCAGGUUCAUUCCCAUAUUGCCUCUCUGAUUUAUGAUCUUCAAAGGUUUUGCAUGAAGGAAGCCUUUCACUGCAUUCCCCUUCAUCCACCAGACCUUCAGAGCAUCGUUUCCAACAAAAGCAACCUUGACUCUUCUAGUCCCAUCAGAAAAAAGUCUGAAUAUCCUCAGUUUAUGUCAUCCCUUGAUGCCCAACUCAGAAAUGAUCCAAAAAACAGUCAUCUCCCAUAUUUGGCUUCCCAGAAACACCUCGACUCAGAUGGCCAGUCCAAAUGUGAUACCCAACAUUCUAAAAAUGCUAAAAACAGAGGAGAUGAUGAAGAAAAACAGAGCAUGUAUAAAAGAAAAAAAAAAGGACUGUUAAAUCUCACUCCAUUCCAUAAAUGCUAAUGGGGUGGAUAUGGUGGAAUCAAAAGGAAGCAAGAGCGUGAUCUUCAAAAUCAAAAGCAAUGAUGGAUCCAUAUUCAAAACGUUCCAGAAUAGAGAAAGACACAAAUAAGGAGCAGGGUUUUUUUUUGUUACUGGCAGGAAGAUAUUUUUUCUAGAGAGUAACUAGAGAGAAAAAUAGGAAGAAAAGGGAAGAGCAUAGAAGACAUCUACAUAGGAGAGUAUUCAUUGUUGUGAGGAGUAGUAGAGAGCUUAGGAGGAGUUACAAAGAGAGUGAGUUUGGUUAGAGGAGGAAGUUUUGUUGGUUUUUCAGAAAGGAUUCUAGCUUGAGUGAGAGCCAUUCUAGAGAGGGUUAGAGAGGAGAAAGGUGUGUUUUGAGCAGCAAAGACACGAAGCAAAAUAGAGCAGCCAGGAAAGAGAAGCAGAAAAUCAAAAUUACUAAAAAAUUAGUGAAAGCUGUGAAAUUUCAUAUUGUUACUAAUUAUUAUAAUUUUUUUUUGUAUUUUCAAUAUUUCAACCAAUAUUUUAUAUAAUUAAAUUUAAAUUAUAAGAAUUAUAUUAUUAAUACACAUAACUAUCUUAAUGUUUUAACAAUGUAUACUUAUUUAAAUUUAUUUCAAUUUUUUUAUUUUUUUAUAAAUAUCUAAUUAGACUUAUAAUUCAUUGAAAUUAUUCAUUUUUUUUUUACUUCAUAAACCAAUUAUAUUACUUUUUGUAUUUUCAAUAUUCAUUUGGAAAAAAUAAUUUCAAUUUAAAAUAAAAUAAAUUAAUUAACUCUCAAUUUAUAAAUUGUGUCAUUGAAUUAUUUUUUAUUUAUAAUAUUUAGUUUAUUUUAAAUUUAAUUUUUUUUCUUCACCUUUUGGUUUAUCACUUUAUAUUAAAAAAUAAAAUAAAAUUGAAUUUCUUUUAAUUUAUAUUUUCACAAAUUAUUCAAUAUUUUUUUAAUUUUUAUAAAAUAAAUCCUCAGAUUAUAUAAUUGGAUGUUGUAAAGAGUUAAAAUUUUUGUGUUGCAUUGAAUUAUUUUUUCUAACAAAAGUAUAUUUGGGUACCGUAGACAUUAUAUCCAUAUCUUAACGUAUUAUAUACUUUUAUUUUGUGCAAUUAGCAAUUGAGCGGAAGACGCGGAGCCGGCUAACGGAAAUACCGCGUGUCACGCGUGUCCCUUCCCGUACCAAGUCUCAACUGCUUCAAGAUUUCCGACGCGCCCUUCUUCGCUUAACUCUUAAGUCUUUUCUUCCACUCUUCCUUAAACCCAUCACAUUUCGCCGCGUGGACCUAAGUCUCAAUGUCCUUGUGUUCAUACGAUGUAUGUUCCCCCAAUUCCUCAUCUACACUGAAACUCCAUACUCGCCUACUCAAUCACUUCUCUACUCUAGAGUCUGGAUGCUUAUCUCUGCGCGUGUCGAUGGCUCUUCACCCCAGCGAGUAUGGCAUUACAAGGGCAAUAUCGUCAUUAAAGACACAACAGAGUGUCUAUUUUAUUUAAGCUGUACGUAAUCGUGAUUGACUUCUUAGUAUCCUUUUGCUCCUAGUCUUCUCCCGCGUCUCUUAUAAAAACUAAAGAAAACCACUCCAAGAGAGCACACUACAAGAAUCUUCUUCCUUUUUUUCUUUCCUCUUUCUCUUUACAGAUAAACUGAGAAAGCCCAGCUCAUCCCUCAAUUCCCAGAUGGGUUUCAUGAAUGUUCUCAAGUUCUCAGCUGCAUGCUUUGAUCUUCUUGGCUGGUAUGUUGUCCACGCGUUUUCUUGCCAUUGGAAAUUUUUGGGAAAUGAAGUGGAAUUCUCUGUUUGAGGACAAACAUGGGAUUUUCUUUGAUUUCUCCCUGUUGGUUUUAUCUAUAUUCUUUGAAUUACCCACAUUCUUGUCAUUGAUUGUUAGUCAUUUGUUUGGAUUUCUACUUGCAGGCCUCUAUGUGCACUGGGUUAUCCUCUGUAAGUCUUGGUCUUACACCUCAAGAUAUGAUGAUUCAUUUACUCUUUUCUUGUUCUACGAAUGGUUCAGUUACAUUUAUUGUGUUGGGAAACUGAAAAGGAAAAGGAUUAUUAGUUAUUAUCGUAAUAAUCAUCAACAUCAUCUCGGUUCUUCACAGAUGUGCUUCAAUUCGGGCAAUUGAGACUAACUCAAUCUCAGACUUUCGGAAGUUGGUGGCGUAUUGGGUUCUAUUUUCCUUGAUUUCACUCUUUGAUCAUGCUUUUUCCAAGCUCCUUGAAUGGUAAUUUUGCUCAACUGCAUUCCACUAUAUGUGACUCUGUUUGUUUCAUUUCUUUGCCCUUAAGGAAUUUGGAGUUGCUUUUUUCAGUUUUCUUUCCUAUGAAAAUAAUCGAGAGGUCUCCAUGUAUUUUAUAUUCCUUCAUUUCUCUGCUUUGACAAAGGCCCACAUUCUGAUCAGCAGAAAGGUUAUAACAUUUGAAAAAGAAGUGCUUUAUUUUUGUUUUUUGUUAGUACAAUAAUUUUCGUUUGGAUAAAUGGUCUGAAGGGUGUUUGUGUUUGGCUGAGUUCAUGGAAUUUUCUAGCUAAUUUGGGAUUUAUUCUCAAUUUCAAGAUCAUUGUGGAUAUGUCAGAAAUUAAUGAAAUAUAAACGGUGGAAUGUGAUUUUCUUGUUUAAGAAAAGUUUUUCUUUGAAAAUACGGGUGCACCUGACCUACCUUAUUGUGCUACUUGGAACACAAAACAUUAGUACAGGUAAUUUAUUAACUAAAUUGUACACUUUUUGAUAGUUCAAGGAGGUGGUUUUCUUCUUUUAGGGUGUCAGCUUUGGAAAUAGGAUGGAUCUAAAAGUUUUUAUGUCUCAUCUUUAUAGGGAACUUGAAAGCAUGGAUGCACUUAUUUCCAUGGAAUUUGGCUUCCUUGAAAUCAAAUUAAGCUUUAUGCAUCAUUUGGAUGCUGAGAAACAAAUGGAAAUAGAAAAUUCAGAAUCUGACAAGUUUUUGUAGGGCAACUGGAUCUAAUCUCUUAGUCGAAGCCUAAUUGGGGCAAAUGCUGAUCAUCUUUGGACCCCAUUGAAAGCUCUAAUCUGUGCACAAUUCUAAUGUUUUUGUUUUCUUCAUUUCUUUUUCAACUUUUCACAAUAGAUGUCAAAGGUUAAAACCAAAUUUACGCAGUCCAUCCAAGUGGAUGCAUAUAAAUUUAACAGAAACUGAAAUUCGAAGAAAUUUAUUUUCCCUUUUGUAAAUGGUGUUUAAAUAUUUUAUUUUCUUAUAUAAUGCAUGUCAGGGUACCAUUCUGGCCUUACAUAAAGCUGAUGGUCAUCUGCUGGCUGGUGAUACAGCAGUUUGAUGGUUCAUAUUAUGUCUAUCAACACCUAGUUCAGCCAUGCUUGUCCAUGGAUCCACAAGCUGUCAUGAACUGGCUCUUCAAUGAAUCAAAAAAGAAGUUUCAUAGCAGAGAAAACUUUCUUGUUUCAGCAGACCGAUAUAUUAAGGAGAAUGGACCUGAAGCUUUGGAGAAACUACUUUCUAGGAAGGUAUGCCAUUAUAAGUAGGAUUAUCAACAAGUCAAACAGAGUUUUAUUUGAGAUGUUCAGGUAAAAAAUGACUAUAGUAGGUCAUCUAGAAUCAUUUGGUCUAAAUUCAUGUAUAUAUCUAUAUAUAAUUGUGUUCUCUUUUUUUCACAUAUGCAUGUGCAUUUAGAUUUACAUAAUUAUAUAUGCAUAAUCAGAUUCAACUGUGAUAGCCCGGAAUUAUUUCAGUAAUCAACUCUUCUGGGAACAUGUUGGUUAUGGUUUCUCUCUCACUGUCCUCUUCUUUAUACAUGACUUUGGCUUCAGUUGAGGAGCGCAAAGCCUAAUGUUGAAGUGAAAAAGAUCAAAGCACCUGCAGCACCGGAGAAAAAAGGGGAACAGGUAAGUUCUCUAAUGUGACUAUUUAAUUUCUAUGAGGCAGAUCCCCAGAGAAAUGUUGCUCAUGUAAAUUACUGAUGCAUUUGAUUCAAUGGCAUGGUUUUAAAAGAAAAACCACUUUAUGUAUGUUUCUGUGAAUAAGAGAACAAGUUUAUGGAUUAAAUGAUAUUUUUUAUGGUGGAUUAAUCAAUAAUUUUCAAAAUAAUAAUAUAUUCGUGCAUGUUUUUGCAAUUCAUGAAUUCCUUUUAUGAUUGAUUCUUCUUGCCUUUUUUCUCACCUCAGUGGAAGUGUGAAGAGCCUAAUGUUGCUCAAAAGGAGAUCCAAGUUGUCAAAGUAACAGAGAUAAAAAAUGGGGGGGAUGGAGCAAAGAGGGUAAGUUUUGCUUUUUAUUUAUAAAGUAGGCUGUCUUCACACAAGGAUUAUUAUCUUUAAGACAUGAAUGUUGAAUGCUUUUGGAAUUGUCCAUGAAUCAUGUGUAGUGUGAAUGGCCUAAUGCUGCUAAGAAGGAGGUCAAAGUGACAGAAGUAACACACAGAACAUUCGGUGGUACAGCACAGUGGGUAAGGUUUCAUGUCAUAUUUAAAUGGCUCCUCAUAUUUCACUAGGAUUAAUUUUGCCCCUACAAACAUAUUUGGCUACAAGUUAAGACAGAGUUCCAGAUGCUGAUAAAGUUGAGACAUAAGUAAUGAAUGAGUUUAGAAACAUGCACAACUCUUGUGUGAAACACAAUGAGAGUGGAAAAUAGCUAAGUUGAAAAAUGGCCAAAUACUAUUUUGUAGUUCCCCCUACCACUUAAGUAAUUUUUGUCAUCCUUUGUGAAUGGAAAAUCCAGUCCCUUCAGUAAUUCCGUUAUAUUCAUGACUUGGUGAAGCAUAUAACCAUUAGUGUCUUGCCUUAAGUCGACCUUUAAUGAUGAUCCAUUGAGAUGGGUCUGACUUUUGUCAACCCUCUUAUUCCCUUGAUCAUAGAGGUUAAACUUAGGGGGCUUAACCCACUUUUGAACCUUAUUGGAUAUAUGGCACAUGGUAUCCUCUUCAUCUUGAAAGAGUGAAGUGGUCAUACUCUUUCCUCUGAGUCCAUUGUGGCCAUGCACUUCUGGCCCAUUGGGCUGAGUGAAAGGAUUCCCUUCUGCUUCAAAUCAUAGAGAGAUAUGCCAUGGUCAGCCUCUUUAAUUCAAGGGAUCGAAGUACUCAAAUCCAUUUCUCUGCAUCCAUCUUAAUUCUGCAUUCAUGUCUCAUGGUUAACCAAGAAGAUCCAGCUUCCAUCCAUGAGAUCAGCAUCUGCAGGUUUAUGACACCACCCUUCCUUGGCAUAGGAAAGGGAUCAUUAAGCCAUGUGUUGGAUGACAGAAGUCAUCAUUCAGGUUAUCUUGAGAACUAAGGAAGUUGGAAUUCUAAUUAUUGCAUAUGGUUCUUGAUGUUUAGCCAAUAUACCGUAGGAUUUUAAGGAUCAUGCUCAUGUGCAUUGUGGUUGUUUAUCAGCUAUAUGGUUUACCAAAAUGAGGGACUGAUUAUGGUCAUAAGUACCUUUUUCCUAUUAAUUUCUUGCAUGUGCUCUGCUGAGAUUAUGUUUUUGACAGUCCAAAUCAGGGCAAACCAACAAACAGCUUUAUGUUAACUUUUACAAACUGCCACAUUUUCAGGUUAAACGAACAGAGAUAAAUCUUGGUGAAACUAGAAGUAAUACAACUUGUGCUGUGGAGAUAAAAGAAAGGGCAGCGGCACUGGUGGCUGCAGAAAUUGAGGCAUGUAGAGACGAUAGAACCCCCAAGAUACCUCUUCAUGAGAAAGUCCAGAAAGAGUGGGCUUGUGCUGUAUGCCAGGUCACAACCCAAAGUGAAGCGACCUUCAAUUCCCACCUUCAAGGGAAGAGACAUCAGGCCACUUCUGAGCAGCUGAGAGCCAAAAACCAGGCAACCAAAACCAAUUGUUCCCCAUCUGCUUCAAUGGCCAAGAAAUCUGAUCAGUCCACCAAAGAGGAGCAACCGAAGUGUACUUCCAACAAUCUGAAUUCCAAAAACAAUGGAAUCUCAGCUGCUUCAACAGUGAAGAAACCUGAUGACACCAAAGAUGAUGAGCGACAAAAGUCUGCAUCUAGCAAUGAACCGAACCAGAAGAAUAACAAAAAGCAAGAGGUACAGACCAAUGAGCAAGGCCAUCAGAAGAACUUAAAGCAAACUGGCGAUGGAAUGAAAGAGUUGAGAUUAUGCUGCAAUAUCUGUAAUGUAAGCUGCACAAGUGAGCUUGACAUGGCCUCUCAUCUCAAUGGAUGGAGGCACUUUAAUAUGAUAAAGGAGGCGUCUGAAUUAUGGUGCAGUAACUGCAAUGUAAGGUGCAACAGUGAGGCUGUCAUGGCCUCUCACCGAAAUGGGAGGAGGCACUUGAAGCAGCUGAAGGAACGGUCGGGAUUAUAGUGCAGUAUCUGUAGCGUGAGAUUGUGUUAGGAAGAGGUGGAAUGGGUUCCAAUCAGGAAUUAAGACUCGGUUCCAAGACAUGGAAAGUGUCUUUAGAUUAUGUUAUCUCCAUUUUUUUUAUUGUGAGAGGGGAGUAUAAGGAAUGAAAAUAAAUAUAUAUAUAUUUUUUAAUAGAGAUGAAUUUGAUAAUUUUAAUUAUUGUGUUUUGAUGUAUUUAGGAAUGUAAAAUUAAAAUAAUUAUUUAUUUUCAUUUUAGUAUUUGACAAUAAUAAAAUUAUGAAUUAAAAAAUAAUGUGAUAAUAAUACAUUUAUAUUUAAUUUAAAAUAUUUUUUAUUUUAUUUUAGAAGAAUAUGGGUUAAAUUCUUUUUUUAAAUAAUAAGCUUAAGAAAAAUAAUUUUUACUCAAUAAAUAAAAUUAAUCAUAAAAAGUCAUAACAACCUAAUAAAAAUAUAGGGGUAAAAUAAUAAUUUUAAAAUAUUAUUUAAGUUAUCCAAACAAAUUUGACUCUUCAUUCUCUCUCUUGAACCAAAUACGGUCUUUUAAGCGUUUGUCAACUUAUUUUUUUUUGCAAAAUAUCAAUAUUUUACUAAUAUUUUUAUCGAUUAUUUGCCAAUAUUUAUCGCCACGUCACCAAUUCUUUGAGUUUGACUUUCAAAAUUUUGAAAUGAUAUUUGAAGUCCAGUUCAGCCCAAAUCACUACACCCAUGAUUUUUCCCUUUUCUUUUUCUCCUUAAUUUUCACAUCACCCAACAACACUACUCUUAAUUCACACAAAUUUGAAGGUUUGGAACGAGACUUCUUCCUAAUUAUAUUGUAAUUAUGUUAUAAUAACCAUGUCGUAUUUGGAUUUAUUUAUUCAGUCCAUCUAAAUCUUUUGUUUAUUCAUGUAAAAAGAAUAUAGUUAUAAUCGAAUCCAUUUGUGACAUAUUCAUCUUUUAUAAAUUUAUUAAUUUUAUAUAUUUAAAAACUAUAAAAAUUAAAUAUAUUUUUUCAAUUAUGAAUAUCAUAUUACUAAAAUAUUAAAUAACUAAUUAACUUGAAAUGUUUUAUAUUUCAUUCAUUAUUUUAUAAUUACAACAUUAAGUGAAAUAAUAAAUAGGUUAAAAUAUAUAUUUUAUUUUAGUUAAAAAUUAUAAAUUGUUAUUGAGACGUAUAACUAUUAAAAUUCUACCCAUUUGACCAUCAAACAAACAACUUAAGUUUUUAGUCAUAAUUUAAGCUUCUGAUAAACUCUAUUUCCAUAAAUUAGAAACCGAAAUCAAUUUCUUCUUAGACUCAAAAACAUAAAGACAAUCUUUUAAUUCUAGAAGACAUCUAUCAUUUAAGAUAAGGGUAACAUAUCCCAUUGCCUAAACAACAACUCUUGCUUCAAAAGCCAAUGUCAAGUACAUAUCCCUAUCAUUCAACCUUUCCCUUAGCUAAAACCCCUAUAAAGAAUUAUAAACAUAAUCAAUGGCUCCAAAAUUUAUCCACCAAGAGUUAGUGGAAUCCAACACUAAACAUAAUUCAACUAUAAGAGAAUGAUGCAUAGUUGACUAUCUCUUCAAGAACUAAGGACAUUCCUUCUUCUUCUAAUGGCAUUUUUUACCACAAAGGAAACACUUGUCAUGACCCUUACUCUUCUUCUUCUUCCCCUUAGCCUUAAACUUCCCCUUCUGCUUGAUGAACUCUAUAGUGUUCUUCUUAUUUUGGCUAGAAAAACCUAAAGAACCCUUAACUGCCAUAUAAAUACCUCUCUGGUCCUUGAGAAUUCCCUCAGUCAUUUUGUGUUCUCUCAUUAGUUCAAUUGUAGUUUAAGAAAAAUAAUGUUUUUUAUUUUAUUUUAUGUGAUUGAACUUGGAAUGAAUUUCCAAGUUGCAUACAUACUUGGGUUGAGAUCAAGUCAUAACGUAGUUUAAGAAAAAGAUUUUUUAUUUUUUAUGUGAUUGAACUUGGAAUGAAUCUCUAAGCUACCUACGUAUCCAAGAUGGGAUCAAGUUCUAACAUAGUCACAAUGCAGUUCAAGAUUUUUUUUUUUCUUUUUUUGUGCUCUAACUUUUGUCAAGACUAAAGAUCUUAAUCUUGCAAGCAUGUCCUAACUUUUGUCUAGGUCACCUUUCCAAGUUUUCAACUUAGCAAACAUUUUUUUUUUUUGUUCUCUAACGUUUGCCAAGACAAAAGAUUUUAAUCUUGCAAGCAUGUCAUAACUUUUACCUAAGUCAGAUUUUUAGGUUUUCAAUGUGGUGGAUUUUUUUGUUUUUUAUUUUUUAUUUUUUAUUUUUUGUGUCGUAGGCAAUUUAGCUCAUACGGCCCAGAAGCGAUGUGUAGUUUGUUGGGAUUCAACCCUUAAAAGCAAAACAUGAUGUAACAAAGUUAGACUUAACUAUCCCCUUGCUAUCAUUUUGGUGUAUUAACAUUGAUUUAAACAUUCAACUCAUAUUUUACAUUGUACAUGACUUAGGUGCAUUAGGAGUUGCUCAUAAGAUACAUGGAUUCCUUGUAAGUAGAUGAGUUAUCCAUAGUCAGUUCAUGGAUUUGGGCAAUCUAGUAGAGACUGUAAUGCACCACCUCUUAAUUGAAGAGAUGACUUGUCUUGACAGUUGGGAUAGGUUUCCUAUGGUGAGUGCACUAGUAUAUAUGAUGCACAUUGGAUAGGACCUACGGUAAAUCAUGAGCAAAGCUAUCAAUUGUCAUGAUUCACCAAGUUACGAUACUGCAUGGACUCUCAAUCUUGAGAGGACAUUGAACCUGUGCCAAAAUCAACAAAAAGCUUUCACCUAUAGAUGAGACCUUAAAGUGAUCAUAUAUCCCUAUGGAUUGAGUCACUAUUGAUGAAGGUUGGUGGUAAUAGGUAUUCUCAAUAGAGGCACCAUGAUAUCUCAUGAGAUUGAGACGGUGUGUCCCCUUGGGUGAUACAAAGGACAUGUGAUCAUAAAAUCUGUGACCAUAGUAAUUCUUUUAUUGAAAUUUGACAUAUACCCCUUCGAGCUAGAGUAUGUCAGUUGAUUACAUAAUAAGUGGCAUCUAUAACUUAAGGAUUUGAGAGGUAAUCUUGAUAGGUGAUAGCACUACCUUGUUAGAUUAUGGACACCAGUUCAUGGGGAAUCUACAUGCAGUGGAUGAUAUGUCACGAACGCGAGCUUCAUAUCGUUGUUAUUAACAUAGGAUACUGGAGUGCAAUUGAUUCUCUUUAGUAGAAUGUUGAAUCAACUUCAAAAUGGAUUAUGAGGGAGCCAAUACUCCUAUGGGUCUUAAUGGUCCCCACUCUGAGCUCAUAUACCAUGAUGACACAGUUUAUGAGGGUUUGAUUGGCUUUAUGUUCAUUUUUGUGCAUAAGGGCAUUUUGGUAAUUACACAAGGUUACAUAGGGGAUAGUCAAUAAGGUCUUUAGAUUGGGCCAAUUGAUUAAUUAGAUGACCUUAUGUGGUUAAUUAAUCAAUUAUGAUAUGUUUAGGCUAGAUUAAAUGACCCAAGCCUUGAUGAAUUUAAGUCACUUAAGCCUAGCAGAUAACCUUAUAAAUACCCUCUUAUGGGUUAGGGUUUCCUAAUGACUUUCAGUUAAUCAUCUUCCAUCCCUAGAAAGAGAAAGAGAGCCAAAUCUUUCUCCCUUCCAUUGCCCACACUUUGGUAUGCCAAGAUCAUGGUUCAAGUCACUGGGAGGAAGAUCUUGGGUGUACAAGACCUUCGGACUCUUUAAGUUUCUUCUUCGUUGGAUGAAUUUUUAUUUGGGACACAUCUAGAUCAUAAGUAUGUGUUAGAAAAUUUGGCUAAUUCAACUUAAGGUAAUCACUCUAGAGGAGGGGUGAAUAGGGUGAUGAUCUUUUUUUACAAAUUUAAAUUAUGUGAAUGCAAGAGACAAUUAUACUAUGCAAAUAUAUAGUAAAACCAUAUAAAAAUAAUUGCAUAUAAAGUACAAGGGUAGAAAAUAGAGAAUAUAAACACAAGAUUUUUAUAGUGGUUUGGUGCAACUCGGCCUACAUCCAUUCUCCUCUAGCUUCAAUCCCAAGUUUGAGGUUCCACUAAUUCAAGGCUUCCAACCUAACCCUUCAAGCAAUACAAUUGGAUUAUGGUUCCAAUCAAACCUUUUGGACUUUUGGCUCUAAGCACCUUUUACAAUCUUUGAUUCGUGCCUAACUGGUGUUUGCCCUGUUGAUUGGUGUUCAAUCAACUGAUGUGCUUUGAUUUCAGUCCUCAGACGAGAGUAAUCAACAAAAUUUAUAAACCUAUUUCACCAUAUACUAGGGUAGCAUUAGCUAGCAUAGCAUAGUGGCUCUAGGAUCGUCCACAGGGAUGGGUUUUCAAAUUACAAUUGAUAUUAGUUCAAAAACUGAAUUGGUGUUUUUUCUUUUCAAGGUUAGCUUUAAAAGAAAACAUAAGUAUGUGUGAAAAGGUUGGUUUUAAGUGAAACCAAAAAUAAAGUAACUGAAAUUACUUACAAAGAAAAGUGCUUCUUGGAGUUUUAGAUCACUAGGCUCAAGUUCCUUAUACAAAAAGAGAGAUUCCGAUCACUUGGAUCUUUUCCUAGCAUUGGGGAUUUAACAUAUAGUUAUUUCCCGAACCGGUGCGGUACAGAUGCUUCCCCUUAAUGGUUUCAAACACUAAAUCUCUAUCACUGAAUCAUCUUGUAAUGGUUCAUACCUCUCACCUGGUAUUGGUCAUUUAAGGUGAUCAUUAACCUUGGAUUACCCGUCAAAAGCUCGCAAAAGAUAACUAAUGAAUGUCUCCUAGGAGUCCAAAAGCUUACCAAGUGUUGGCUAUUCUAGAUAAUCCUACCUUUAAACCAUCUCCCAAAAGCUCGCAAGAGAUAAACUAGUGGAUCUCAAUGGACGGAGUCCACUUGCCUUACCAAGUGUUGGCCCAAGUGAUUUUAAGGGAUUUUAAGUUAACUAAAAAGAUAAAAACCAUUAACGGGUCACACUUUCUCUUCAUUAAAACCUGAAACAAUGAAACUUCCACUUUUGUAUACGAAACCUUACCUAGCUUCCUUCACUCCAAGAAACAAAAAGCCUAGCCACUCAUCCUCUAGGAAAACAUCCUCAGAGUUUGAUUUGGUAGAAAUAAAAAUAAAAGAGAAAACCAAAUGUGAAGGUAAGGCCGAGCAGAGCUCUGUGUAUUACUUUAUGAAAAACUAUACAAAAUUUGUCUCUAAGAGAAACUCCCCCGAGAUCUCUUUUAAAAGAAAAUUACAAUAGAUAUCAUAUAAAGAGGCUAUUCACCCCUCUUGCUAACUUCCCAACCAUGAAAACUUGUCAAUGGUGGGUUACAAGGAGAAAAUAGGGAUUUACACACAAAUAUUUGAAGAUAAACAUCAAACUGAGUCGGUGCGCAAAUAUCUCAGAUUACAAGUGGAUUUCGCAAGUUCAAACGCAACUUGCAAAAAUUUUGCAAGUUGAAAUUAUGGUUUCGCAAGUUGCGAAAUUGUCCUGCAACUAAUCAGCUCUCUGUCCUACAACAAUUCCUUUCCUCUUCCUAUUUCGCAAGUUGUGAGAAUUUCGCAAGUUGGAUUCCACAACUUGCAAAAUUGUUGGAUGGUUGAUUUCUUUUGUGAUUUUCUUCCUUGCAUCCUCAUUUGGCUUUGGCAAAGGGUUAUGAAGCUCCAAAGCUUAGUUUCUUCAUGAAUUUGAGCUUCAACUUGCUUUGCCAUGAACUAUACAAAGAUCUCCCUCAUUCUUGGAUUGCUUUGGUGAUAAAAAAGCUAUGAAAAACACCAAAACUUAACACAAUUUGAUUAGAAACGAUUGUAAGGGUCUUUAACAUGCCAAUUGAGUUAAAAGGUAAUAGCUACUACUCAAAAGUGUUUAAAAGAGUUAAUUACAAGCUAUAAAAUGACCCUUUUUGAAGUUCAACCCCUUAAGUGAUACCCCUUAAGUGAUACCCCUUAAUUCAAGAGAUGUCUUACUCUUAAACAACCCCUUAAGUGAUACCCCAUACUUGAGAUUCCCUAAGUGAUGCCUCACACUUAGAUUUUUCAUCUCAAAGAUUUACAAAUGAAGAUAGGAAAUAAUCUCACAAAAUCUUAAUACAAAACAUUAGGCUCAAAUGAUACAAGAUAAACUAUGAUUGAAUGGUGCACUAAUAAUAUGCAAGUUUUAAAACAAUGAGUACUAAAAAACACUCUCCUAAGGUUCAAAUAUAUUCAAGAAAGAUUUAAGAAGGUUAAACUCUUGAAACAAUAAAGAUUGAAACCUUUUUAUGGAGGAGAAAUGCCAAACUAGUUGUUGGGGGUUUGUCCAGUCGAGUUCUGGUUUGACCGGUUCACUAACCGUUAGCAUUUAAUGCAUGAUAGGUGAUCAUUGGGCCUUGACCAUCCCUCGACCAGUACUCAACCGGAUAAAGUUCAACCUUAAUCAAUCGAAUAAGCAUUCUAGAAUAGAGAGAAGGUUUUUGCACCUUUCAAUCAGUUGAGUUGAACAAAUAGACGGAUUCCUUAUCCAGUUCAACCGGUUGAGCCAUUUUUGGCUCAACAAUCAUCAUUUUCAACUUAAAACCUUUUAAACAAGUUUAGAAAGCAUUUGACACAAGGAUUUAGUUGAAAACAUUAAAUCAUCCUAUUUUUAAAAGAUUUAAAACAAAAUACCUCUUGAAUGAUUUUGGUGUAUAAGUAAAUAAUGUAAUGCAUGAAAAACCCAGUGCGCCAACAACCUUACAAAGAGAUCUUAUGAGGCUUAGGUAUUGAAAAACACUUCUCUUUAAGGCAGACAACAUCGUGUGAAUACCAAAGGGGAACUCUACGUUCCUAGGGAAAGAUGCCUCGUCAGUACGUCUUGAGGUUGUUCACUAACUUCGGGGUUACCGGCUUUGAGAGGAGCCCUUUGAUGACAUUUGGGCAUGCAACUCUUCAUUUUCUUCCUUGAUUCGCCUUGUUUGGUGGAUCAAAGAUUGCAUAUGCCAGUCAUUUUUGCACUAGGUUCUCUCCAUGCUUUCACGCCAGCCAAAGUAGCUUUCGUUACCCAUAGUUGAGGAUCGGCUUCUAAAGGGUACUAACAUCCUUAGUCAUUCCCACAGAUGACACCAAUGUUGGUUCUGAGUCGGCUGAAGUCAAAUUCAUCCAACUUAACGGAAGUUUGACAACCUUCCUCCAUUUUUUGUGCCUCUUAGAGAAUCCACCUAGCAGUAAUGAGAUUGGGCGAACUCCUUUCUUGCACAAAAGAAUGUUCAGAUGAGUACUUCGGGUACGCCCUUCGAAGCUUAAGUGAGGCAAAAAUAGCUCAAACUACUUAAUGAGAGAGAGUGGAUAGGUGAAUAUGUGCCUACCUUGUUCGUGCUUUUUGAGGGGUUUAUAUAAUGUUGAUGAGAAUGCCACUAUAGUGCUUACUAGACACUUUAACUUUCUUCUAUAAUGAUGAUUGUCUUGCAGGCGGUUGGGCAAUCAUCAAAAUUUUGGGUGGCUGAUAGGUGCCAUCAACUAACGUGCCAUGAUCUUAGACCAUGCAGUAACCUGUUCCCUCAGUCUGUUGAUGGCCUAAGGUUAUGUGCAACAAUUAAUUGACAUGGACUUGAGGGCUAGAAGAGGUCCCAUCGGCCGUUCACAUGUCAAGUGUGAAUGAUCACUCAUGCUAGUGGGUCUUGAAGAUUUGACUAGACAACCUUACCUAUUUGGGAGGUCCAACCUCCCAUUGCCGUUGUUUUGGCCUUAUAGGAGAAAAGGGCUUUCUCAUGUAUGGUGCUAGAGGGACUAGUCGUGAUCCAGAUGAGUUGCAUACCCAUGCUAGAUGGUCGAAGUGUCCGGGUUGGAAAUGGAGGGAAGCCUCCCACAAAUAUGAGGGAGCCUUAUGAAAACGGAUCCUUAGGGCUUAAGAAGGGGUUUUCAAUUUUAAGGUUUGCCUUUUCACCCAAGGAUGUGAAUGGGAAGAUGAGGCGAAGUUAAAAGAUUGGUGAAGCAAAGUGAGGGCAAGGUAGGGUUUGAAUAAAGGAAAGUAUACACUAUUAAUGAAGAUGAUAAUCUCUAGAAAGAAAAACUAAGGUAAACUAGGGCUUUAAUAAUAAUUUUCAAUCUACACUAGUGAAGAGGAUAUCUUCGAAAACCAAAGUUAGGGCUUCAAUAACGAAUUUCAAUCUACAAUGGUGAAGACAAUAAUCUUCGAAAACCAAAUCUAUAAUGAUGAAGAUGAUUGAAAACUAAAUCUAUACUAGUGAAGACGAUUGGAAAGCAAAUCUACACUGGUGAAGACAAUGAAACCAAAUGUAGGUCUUCUAAACUAAACGCUUUUAAGGAUUUUCCUUUUUUUUUUCCUUUGUUUUCAAGAAAGGCAAACUCUUUAGAAAACUAAAAAAACUAAUGCAUUCUUAGAUCCAGAUCACUAUUUCCAACAUGGUAUUUGGAUUGCCAGCUUGCAUUUUUUAUUUUUUUAUUUUUUUAAUAGUCAUUGGCAUUUUAGGGAUUAUUGAAGGAUAAUAUCAUUCAGCUCAAUUUCCCAAAUUAGUUAGGUCUUACACUCAAAUGUGAAACUUAUAUGGAUGUUAGGCCAAUUAUCAAACUCAUCUGCCCUAAAACAUAAUUUCCCUUUUUUAAAAUAGUUGUUAAACAUCUAUCCCAAACACGUUUAACCCUUUGAAUUGCUUGUAUGUUAACCUUGUUUCCUUUUCUUCAUGCAACAUGGCUUAUUGAUGGUUGCAUUGAAUCAUUAUCAUUCACCAAUUCCAUGCAACUAUGGACUACAUUUCAAAUCCCUCGAACAUAAAUGGUAAUUCCAAAACAACUCAAGUAUAAUCUUUUCAACCCUUUCAAAUGAUUUAAUUAAUUGAUUUUUGAAUAUAUUCAUAUAUUUUUUUGAGCAAUUUUUAGGCAUAUAACAUAAAUCUCUUUUUUAUAUAUAUAUAAAAGGUUUUAUAUUUUAUAUUACAAUUUCCUUUUGUUUUUUCAUCUAAAAAACAAAACAUAAAACCUUAAUAAACGAGUUUUGUCACAAUCCCUUAACAAGUAAUCUAUUUUUUAAAUUACUUUAACAUUUUUAGAUAUAUUGAUUCAAUCUAAUUUACUUUUAAUAUUUUUUAUAAAAUAUUUUUACUUUAUAUGACUAUAAAUUAAUUACUAUUGAUUGCAUAUUAUAGAAUAUAUAUUCUAAAAUAUAUCUUAUUGACAAUAUAAUCAUAAGAUGUUAUAUCCAUAUCCUAACAUAUUAUAUACUUUUAUUUUGUGCAAUUAGCAACAUGGUGGGAAGUGGCAAGCAGCUUAACGGAAAUGUCAUGUGCCAAUGUGCCAUGCGUGUCCCUUCCCUUAGUGAGUCUGAACUGCUCCAACAUUUCCGACAUGUUAUUUUUUACUUAGCUCUUAAGUAUUUUCGUCUCGUUUUCGUUAACCCCAUCACAUUUCGCCACAUGGAUCUAAGCCUCAUGGUCCUUUCGUUCGUACAAUGAAUGUUCCCCCAAUUCCUUAUCUACACUAAAACUCCAUACUCGCCAUCUACUCAACCACUUCUCUACUCUAGAGUUUGGGUCCUUUAUCUCUGCACGUGUCUAUGGCUUUUCACCCCAACAAGUAUGGCAUUACAAGGGCAAUAUCGUCAUUAAAGACCCAAAAGGGAAACCAAUGGCAUUAUCUUCCUUUUGGUCUAUUCUAUUUAUAUUGUAAGUUAUUCGUGAUGACUUCUCCCAUAAAAGCUAAAAACCACUCCAAUAGAGCACACUUCACUUCUUCAUUUUUUUUUUUCCAGAUAAGCUCAGAAAGCCCAGCUCAUCCCUCAACUCCCCGAUGGGUUUGAUGAAUGUUCUUAAAUUCUCAACUGCAUGCUUUGAUCUUCUUAUCUGGUAUAUUGUCCACGCAUUUUCUUGUCAUUGGAAAAUUUUGGAAAAUGAAAUGGAAUUCUAUGUUUGAUGACAAAACUGGGAUUUGCUUUGAUUUCUCCAUGUUGGUUUUAUCCCUUUUGUUUGAAUUGUCCACAUUCUUGUCAUUGGUUGUUAGUUAUUUGUUUGGAUUUCUACUUGUAGGCCUCUGUUUGCACUGGGUUAUCCUCUAUAAAUCUUGGUCUUACACACCAAGAUAUGAUGAUUCAUUUACUCUUUUCUUGUUCUAUGAAUUCUUAGUUCUGUUACAUUUAUUGGGUUGGAAAACUGAAAAAGGAAAGGAUUAUUCGUUAUUAUCAUAAUAAUCAUCAACGUCAUCUCAAUUAUUCACAGAUGUGCAUCAAUUCAGGUAAUUGAGACUAACUCGAUCUCAGACAUUCAGAAGUUGGUGGCAUAUUGGGUUCUAUUUUCCUUGAUUUCACUUUUUGAUCGUACUUUUUCCAAGCUCCUUGAAUGGUAAUUUUGUUCAACUUCAUUCCAUCAUAUGUGGCUCUAUUUGUUUCAUUUCUUUGCCCUUCAGGAAUUUGGAGUUGCCUUUUUUAGUUUUCUUCCCUGUGAAAAUAAUCGAGAUGUUUAAUGUUCCAAGCCUCCAUGUAUUUUAUUUUCCUUCAUUUCUCUGCUUUGAUAAAUCCCCAUGAUUUGAUCAGCAAAAAGGCUAUAACAUUUGACAAAGAAAUGCUUUAUUUUGGUUUUUUAAGUACAACAAUUUUCAUUUGGAGAAAUGGUCUAAAGGGUAUCGGUGUUUGGAUGAAUCAUGGAAUUUUCUCGCUAAUUUGGGAUUUAUUCUCAAUUUCAAUAUCAUUGUGGAUAUUUCAAAAAUUAAUGAAAUAUAUAUGAUGGAAUGUGAUUUUCUUGUUUAAGAAAAGUUUUUCUUUAAAAAUUUAGGUAACCCUGACCUACCUUAUUGUGCUACUCGAAACACAAAACAAAAGUACAAGUAAUUUAGUAACUAAAUUGCACACUUUUUGAUAGUUCAAGGAAGUGGUGUUAGCUUUGGAAAUAAGAUGGAUCUACUAGUUUUUAUUUCUCAUCUUUAUAGGGAACUUUCCAUAAUAUAGCUUAUAAAUACCAUAAUCACAGUGAUGAAUAAUUGUCUUGUUUGAAAGCAUGGUUGCACUUAUUUGCAUGGAAUUUGUCUGCGUUGAAAUUAAAUUAAGCUUUAUGCAUCAUUUGGAUGCUGAGAAACAAAUGAAAAUAGAAAAUUCAAAAUUUGACAAGUUUGUGUAGGGAAAUUGGAUCUAAUCUCUUAAUCGAAGCUUAAUUAGGGCAAAUGUUGAUCCUCUUUGGACCUAUUGAAAGCUCUAAUCUGUGCACAAUUCUAAUGUUUUUGUUUCCUUAAUUUCUUUUUCAACUUUUCAACAAAGCAUCAAUUUGCUAUAAUAAAUGAGAACCAACUUGACGAUGAGAAAAAUGACUGGUGAUGAUGUCAUAGAGAAUCGCAGAUGAGAACAACCAAAAAUACUAGGAUUGGUACCACUGAUGGUAAUGAAGAAAACACAAAAAUGGUGCAAAUGGUGAACAGGAAACUCAAAAUGGAAUGGGAAAAGAAACCUAAACAAUAGUCUCCUAUAUAAAGCACACAACAUGUACAUCGAGGCAUCUGAAAGGACACGCUGCCUGAGAAGUCACUCUAAUUGAUGUGACUCCUCAUGACGUGGGUGGUGGACAUAUGUCCCAUGGUGCCAAAAAUUUCAAACACUCAAGCAACCGAAUACUUUCACUUAGUCAUUUAAAGCCUAGCUAGACUCAAUUGCAAGAAUUAAGGGCAUUGUGGGAUGCUCACCACCGUCUAUCAUGGUCCUCAAACACUGUCUGGUGUGAGACAUAUUGGCACAAGAGCCAUGUAGCUUCUCUAUCCACCCCAAGAUACUCCUAGGGUAGCAAACGAACACAAUCCGACCAAACACUAUGCAUUCCUACCCUACAAGCAUUAAUUUCAAUGAGCAAUAAGUGUAUUAACACAUUAAUGAAUGCAACCGUUAUAACGCUAAAACGCCAUACUUUAAGGUUCAUCAAGACACAACAACCAUUAUGGGCCGACAAUUAUUGGCGUUAAAUAUGGUAAUGCGCAAUCAAAGGCUCAAUUAAGGCCCUUUAGAAGACGUUACUAUUGGGCAAAGAUAAAUAACCAUUUUUUACCACAAGAAAGUCUGAUGCCAUUUUUUUCACAAAAACUUUUGCUUAAGUCUUCCAUCUCUAACCUAAGCUUUGAAGGGGUGUACUUGGAAAACCUAUCCGAACAUUCCUUUAUGUAGGUGCAAUCAUCGUUUAUGUCACGCGAAGGCUAGUCAAAGACCUUUAUUGGUCGUGCACCAAUAAAUCUAUUUAGUAUAUCUCAUUUAUCCGUUCAAGUGAGAUGAAGGAGUGACCUAAAGAUAGAUUGGAAACAUCAUAGUUUCUUAUAUUGGUAAGGCAGCAACAACCUCGGCUAGUGCAUCAACCUGCUCGUUUUCCUCUAGGGGUACGCGUUUGAUAAACCAUUCAUUCAAUUUUUCUGUUCAAGUGUACCAAAGAGAGGUAAUGAGCCAUGCAUUCAUCUCAAGCUUCAUAUUUUAGUUAGAUUUGUUCACCCACUAGUUGUGAAUUGCUUUUGAUUUCUACUUUCAUGGUUGUGAGAGCUAAGGCUAGAUCGUCUCAUAAGAAUUGCUUCAUAUUUUGCCUCAAUAUUAGAUACUGGAAAGUUGAGACAGACGACUUGUUCAAUUUGCUCUCCUGUAAGGAAUUGUUGUGUUAGUCCUAUCCUAGCUUCUGAUGUUCUAGAGGCUUCGUCUACAUGGAGAACACGCCAUUGUUCUUCAUUGUUAGACCUUGUCCAUUUUUGGGGUGGUUCGACUAUGAAAUCAAUGAGAACUUGCUAUUUGAGAUACUAAUGAGGUUUGUACCGUAUGUAAUAUUCACUCAAUUUGAUUGCCCAAUUCACCAUUCGACUAGAUAGAUUUAGCUUGUGCAACGUGACCCACAACGGUUGAUUUGUCAAGACCGUUAUUUGGUGCGCCUGAAAAUAUGGACAAAGCUUCUUGGCAGCGAUCCGUAAGUUCAGAGCCAUUUGUUCCACUUAAGAAUAUCGUGUUUUUGUGUCAAUCAUAGCUUUUCUCACAUAGUAAAUAAGUCUUUGUUCAUUACUCUAAUUGUGUGGAAACAAUAUGACAUUGACAGCAAAGUUUGACACAACCAGGUACAUGUAUAACUCUUCUCUAGCUUCAAGACUACUUAAGAUUGGUGGCUUCGUAAGAUACUGUUUGAUGUCUUUAAAGGCAUGCUCACACUCAUCCAUCUAACUAGACAUCUUUGCUCCCUAGAGUUUGCUCAAGAAAGGUCUGAGCUUAUUUAUGAAGCGUGUUAUGAACCAACCUAAGGUGAUUAGACACCCAGUUAGACGUUGCACUUCCUUCUUGCUAGUAGGAGCAGGGAUUUCUAACACUACUUUCACUUGAGCCAGAUCGACUUCAAUACCCCCUUUGAGUCACCAUGAACACAAGAAACUUCCACUCACUUACUCUAAAUGCAUAUUUUAUUGGAUUAAGCUUCAUGUCAUACCUGCACAUUAAACUGAAUGCUUCUUCCAAAUGGAGGAGCUUCUUGGAACGAGUUAUUCUCUUAAUGACAAUGUCAUCGAUAUAGACUUCCAACGUUCGACCUAUCAAGGGCUUAAAAAUAUGGGUCAUCAACUGUUGGUACGUAGCUCCAAUGUUCAUUAACCCAAGCGACAUGAUCUUGUAAAAGUACAACUCCUUAUGUGUAAUAAAUGUCAUCUUCUCUUUGUCAUGUGGAAACAUUGGUAUCUGGUGGUAUCCAAAAGAAGCAUCAAGAAAAGACAACAUUCCAUGCCUGGUUGUGGCAUCGACUAUCUAAUCUAUCUAGAGCAAUGGGAAGCUAUCUUUCAAGCAGACUUCAUUCAUAUCCACGUAGUCUGCGCACACCUGCCAUUUUUCUCCUUUCUUGGUACCACUACCACAUUUGUUAACUAGUCCAAGUAGGUCACCUCCUUGAUAAAUCUUCCUUUUAAUAGCUUCUCAACUUCUAUCUAGAUAAUUUUUUGAUGAUCCAACUAGAAACGUCAGACUUUAUAUUGUAUGGGUCGUGCUGUAGGAAGAAGGUUCAACUUAUGAGAGCUCACCGCUAGGUCUAUUCCAAGCAUUUCCGAAUGAAUCCACACGAGGAUAUCCUUGUUUUUACAAAGCAUUUCACCAACAUUACCACAUUCAUCCCUAGUUAGCAAAAAAUUAGCGUAAGUCAUCUGCUUAUUAUUUUUCGACAAAGAUAGCUAUUGUAAUAGGCUGAUUGCCAAUGAGUCUCUAUCCUCUAGUUUUCCUUCGACCUAAUUCUAUAAUUGUUAUUAGCUCUCUCUUGAUGAUUUGAGUUCAUCUUUAGUUGGGCCUGAACUCCAUCGCCACUUAGUAACACUACUAGGUGGCUAAUUGGAUUCCAUGUGGAUCCACUUACCCAAAUUCUGUCAGGUAGCUCACCAUCUUAUGAUAGGUGGAUGGAAUAACUUUCAUCUUAUGUAGGUACGACAACCUUAUGAUGGUGUUGUACGACGGUAAAUCCUCUACUAUAGAAAAUCAUACGUUGAGAGUAGGCGGGUUGGCUUGGACAAGAAGUACCACGUCGCAUAGUGAUAUUGUGGCAACCCUAUUAAACCCAAACAAAAGUCGAACUAGAUUUUCUAAGGCAGAUGACGAACAUCCCAUUUUCCUGUAGGUUGACAUAUGCAAUAAAUUGGAAUGAUCAUUUUAGGAAGGAUCACUUGAUUAAUGUUAAUUGAAGGGAAAGUGAUUGGGUCAUUGACUGGUCGGGCACUUUCGACAGUAAAUGUGCACUGAACUGCACUUACUCUUUCCCUCCCUGUAGUCGCACAGAGCAUUCGUCUCCUUUGUUGUUUGGAGUGAUAUUUGUCAUCUACUAUUUCCCCAUGGAUAUAGUUAAUCACUACUCGAUGUGUUGUGGGAGAGUCAGGAACUCACUCUGACACUUCACGUGUCAUUUCUUUAUGUCCACCAGUUGCUCAGACAUACAACUUGAGAUGUCCGGUAAUGAUUAGUUUCUCCACCAAGUAGUGCAAAUUUUUGCACUCUUCUGUGGUGUGCCCAUGCUCCUUAUGAUAGAAUCAUCGCAAUCCUCGAUCAUGCUUGGACGAAUCAGUUUUGAUGGGCUCUAGCCACUUGAACUCGAGCAGCUCUCAAAUCAAGAGGAGAAUUCUAUCAUAAAAAAUGGUCAACGGGGUGAGCCUAGGCGAUUAUCAUUGUUGUUGUCUUUCUUGUCCUUGAUUAGUCUAUCUAGACUGGCUUGAGGGCUUUAAGCUCUUAGCCUUCUUUUUUAAUUGCUCGGUUUAUAACCAGGAUUUGUUGAGAGGUUACCUAAACAUCCUCCUCAAGCAUGACAUGUUUGCCCACUCGUCUAAAUAGGUCAUUCAUUGUAGUGGGCAACUUUUUGGCCAUGGACUUGAAGAAUUGAGUGCUUGGACUGAUGAUCCAUUUGAAGAUCUGCAGGAUAGCAUCCAUGUUGUAAGAUUCCAUCUAGAACACCGCUUGUCUGAAUCACUUCAUGAAGUCCCUUAGCGAUUCAUUCUCCUACAUCUGAAUGUUCUAUAAGGUGCUUAUAUUCUGCUUUUGGCGAGCAAAACAUAAAUAAUGGCCCACAAAGGCCUCUAAAACAUCUGUCAUCUGUUGUUGGAAGUGCAUCAGGUGAACAAAAGAGUCACCAUCCCAUAGUAAAUAGUAAAUUUGGGCACCGGAAACCCCUGGGCAGCUCAUAACUAAUGAUAUGUGGGUCAAACGACAUGAAGAGCAUGUCAUCCAAUCAUCUACUUAUGGAGUCAAGAGGGGCUUUUGUCAAUGGGUUAUUUGUCGAUUGUAGUUCUAGUAUUGAACAUUAAGGCAGACGGCUUGGUGAUGCCUCAUCGUUUGAUUGGCCUAAUUGUGCUUUCAAGGCCUCCAAUAUGCAUGGCGAUGCUAGUGUUCUUCUCUCCUGAUACCCAAGAUAGGCUUUCAGGGCAUCUGAGAGACGUAAGCCCCAUUCUUAACCCAUUUUCCAUUUUUCUCCAAUAGAGCUUGCAACCUCUUUCGCUUGAGUUCGAUCGACUACUGAAUGCACUAGUUCAAGUAAUGUUAGCGAACUGCUAGUAGACAAUCCCUCAUCCACUGUUUGUAGAGACGACUUAGUGUAUCAUUGAAGAACUUUCAUUGUUUGGCUUCAAACUACUCUUGAAGUCGUCUAUUGGUUGGAGGUACGAUGACUUUUUUAUCAGCACCCCAUAGCCACUUGUGCUCGUAGCUCUUGGUUCUCUUGCUGUAGUUGUUCUGCCUGUUGGACAGGGACUACAUAGGUUAUUCAUAUUCUUCUUGCUUUUUUUCUAUCUUUCCUUGCCAAGCUUGGAAUCGCUCGUCAACAUUUGCAGAAUGAGUUGCAGGAGGCGUGUUAACCAUCGUGUUUUUUAGGCAUUUGUGGUUGAUUCCCAUAGACAAUGCCAAUGUUGGUGCACGACCAGUAAAAAAAGGUGUUUGGCUAGUCUCCAUGUAACAUAGAUGACGAUUGCACCUGCACAAAGGAAUGUCUGAAUGGGUUUUUCAGGUACACCUUUCCAAAGCUUAGGUCAGAAAUGGAAGACUUAAGCAAGAGUUUUUGUGGAAAAAUUGGUAGCAUACUUUUCUUGUGGUUAAGAAUAACUAUUUAUCUUUGUCCAACUAUAAUAUCUUCUCAGAUGCCUUAAUUGAGCCUUUGAUUGUGCAUUAUCAUCUUUAAUGUCAAUGAUAGCCAACCCAUAAUGGUUGUUGUGUCUUGAUGAACCUUAAAGGUUGGCGUUUUAACCUCAUAAUGAUUGCAUCCAUCAAUGCGUUAAUGCACUAAUUGCCUAUUGCAAUUAAUGCUUGUUGGGCAAGAAUGCAUAGUGCCCGAUUAGAUUGUGUUUGUUUGGUACCCUAAGAGUACCCUGGGGUGGACAAAAAAGCCACAUGGCUCUUGUUCUAACAUGUCUCGACUAGACAGUGUUUGAGGAUCAUGUUAGAUGGUGAUGAGCAUCCCACAGUGAAGACGUAUGAUGAAAGCAAAGGUAGGGCUUCUAAACCAAACGCUUUUAGGGAUUUUUUUUUUUUUUUCAACAAAGUUGACCUCUUCAAGGAAAAAAAAAAAGGUUAAAAAAACUAUUGCUUUUUUGGAUCCAAAUCACCAUUUCCAAUGUGAUAUUUGGAUUUCCACCAUGUAUUUUUUUUUUUUUUAACAGUCAAGGACAUUUUAUGGAUUAUUGAAAGAUAAUAUCUUUCAACUUAAUUUCCUACAUUAAUUAAGUCUUAGGCUCAAAUGUGAAACUUAAGUGGUUGUUAGGCCAUCAAACCCAUCUGCCCUAAAGUAUAAUUUCCCAUUUUCAAAAUAUAUAGUUGUUAAACAUCUAUCCCAAACUAUUGUAACCCUUUGAAGUGCUUGGUAUGUUAACCUUGUUUCCUUUUCCUUAUGCAACAUGGCUAAUUGAUUGUUGCAUUGAAUCAUUAUCAUUCACCAAAUCCAUUCAACUAUGGACUUACCUUUCAAAUCCCUCUAACAAAAAUGGUAAUUCCAAAACAACUCAAGUCUAAUGUUCUCAACUCUUUCAAAUGAUUUAAUUAAUUGGUGUUUGAAUAUACCUCUUAUAUUUUUUUAGAGCAAUUUUUAGGCACAUAACAUAAAUUUCUAAUUUUUUUUUAGAAAAGGUUUUAUAUUUUAUAUUUUAUAUUACAACUUCCCCUUUUUUUUCCAUCUAAAAAACAAAACAUAAAACCUUAAUAACCGAGUUUUGUCACAAACCCUUAACAAAUAAUCUAUUUUCCAAAAAUUACUUUAACAUCUUUAAACAUAUUGAUUUAGUAUACUUUACUUUUAAUAUUUUUUGAAAAAUAUUUUUAUUUUAUAUGAUUAUUAAUUAAUUAAGAUUGAUUGGGUAUGGUAGAAUAUAUAUUCCAAAAUACAUCGUAUUGAGAACAAUAUCACAAGAUAUUAUAUCCAUAUCUUAACAUAUUAUAUACUUUUAUUUUGUGCAAUUAGCAAUUGGACGGAAGGUAGGGAGCCGGCUUAAUGGAAAUGUCGCAUCUCACGUGUGUCCCUUCCCUUACCAAGUCUCAACAAAGGAUGAAAAUAUCGGUAAUCACGGAUAUAUCGGUACUUCGAUUUUACGGAUAUAUUAGAUAUAUCAGAGAUAUAUUGACGGAUAUUUUGGAAAAAAAUAUCGAUAAGCCUAAAAUUGAUCAAAAUUUAUAAAAAUAUAAAAAAAACUUCAUAAAAAUGUAAUUAAAAGAAGGUCGUAUAAGUUACUCAUGUUGAUCAUGUGAUAUAUCACGAGAUAUAAUCGAUUUUUGGGAAUUUCUCACGAAAAUAUCGCGACAUUUCUUCCUUGUCUCGACUGCUCCAAGAUUUCCUAUACGCCCUUCUUCGCUUAGCUCUUAAGUCUUUUCUUCUCCUCUUCCUCAAACCCAUCACAUUUCGCCGCGUGGAGCUAAGUCUCAAGGUCCUUUUGUUCGUACGAUGUAUGUUCCCCCAAUUCCUCAUCUACCUUGAAACUCCAUACUCGCCAUCUACUCAACCACUUCUCUACUCUAGAGUCUGGAUGCUUUAUCUCCGCGAGUGUCGAUGGCUCUUCACCCCAGCGAGUAUGGAAUUACAAGGGCAAUAUCGUCAUUAAAGACACAACAGGCAAACCAAUGGCAUUGUCUUCCUUUUGGUCUAUUUUAUUUAUGCUGUAAGUAUUCGUGCUUGACUUCUCCCGCGUCUCUUAUAAAAACUAAAGAAAACCACUCCAACAGAGCACACUUCAAGAAUCUUCUUUUUUUUUUUCUUUCCUCUUUCUCUUUACAUAUAUACUGAGAAAGCCCAGCUCAUCCCUCAAUUCCCAGAUGGGUUUUAUGAAUGUUCUCAAGUUCUCAGCUGCAUGCUUUGAUAUUCUUGCCUGGUAUGUUGUCCACGCAUUUUCUCGCCAUUGGAAAUUUUUGGAAAAUGAAGUGGAAUUCUCUGUUUGAGGACAAACAUGGGAUUUUCUUUGAUUUCUCCCUGUUGGUUUUAUCUAUAUUCUUUGGAUUACCCACAUUCUUGUCAUUGAUUGUUAGUCAUUUGUUUGGAUUUCUACUUGCAGGCCUCUAUUUGCACUGGGUUAUCCUCUGUAAGUCUUGGUCUUACACCUCAAGAUAUGAUGAUUCAUUUACUCUUUUCUUGUUCUACGAAUAGUUCAGUUACAUUUAUUGUGUUGGGAAACUGAAAAGGGAAAGGAUUAUUCUUUAUUAUCGUAAUAAUCAUCAACAUCAUCUCGGUUCUUCACAGAUGUUCUUCAAUUCGGGCAAUUGAGACUAACUCAAUCUCAGACUUUCGGAAGUUGGUGGCGUAUUGGGUUCUAUUUUCCUUGAUUUCACUCUUUGAUCAUGCUUUUUCCAAGCUCCUUGAAUGGUAAUUUUGCUCAACUGCGUUCCACUAUAUGUGACUCUGUUUGUUUCAUUUCUUUGCCCUUAAGGAAUUUGGAGUUGCUUUUUUCAGUUUUCUUUCCUAUGAAAAUAAUCGAGAUGUUUAAUGUUCCAGGCCUCCAUGUAUUUUAUAUUCCUUCAUUUCUCUGCUUUGACAAAUGCUCACAAUCUGAUCAGCAGAAAGGUUAUAACAUUUGAAAAAGAAGUGGUUUAUUUUUGUUUUUUUUAAGUACAAUAAUUUUCGUUUGGAUAAAUGGUCUGAAGGGUGUUUGUGUUUGGCUGAGUUCAUGGAAUUUUCAAGCUAAUUUGGGAUUUAUUCUCAAUUUCAAGAUCAUUGUGGAUAUGUCAGAAAUUAAUGAAAUAUAAAUGGUGGAAUGUGAUUUUCUUGUUUAAGAAAAGUUUUUCUUUGAAAAUGCGGGUGCACCAGACCUACCUUAUUGNNNNNNNNNNNNNNNNNNNNNNNNNNNNNNNNNNNNNNNNNNNNNNNNNNNAUCAGAUUCAACUGUGAUAGCCCGGAAUUUAAUUCAGUAUUCGACUCUUCUGGGAACAUGUUGGUUAUGGUUUCUCUCUCACUGUCCUCUUCUUUACACAUGACUUUUCAGUUGAGGAGCACAAAGCCUAAUGUUGAAGUGAAAGAGAUCAAAGCACCUGCAGCACCGGAGAAAAAAGGGGAACAGGUAAGUACUCUAAUGUGGCUAUUUAAUUUCUAUGGAGGCAGAUCCCCAGAGAAAUGCUGUUCAUGUAAAUUACUGAUGCAUUUGAUUCAAUGGCCACGGUUUUAAAAGAAAAACCACUUUAUGUAUGUUUCUGUGAAUGAGAGAACAAGUUUAUGGAUUAAAUGAUAUUUUUUAUGGUGAAAUAAUCAAUAAUUUUCAAAAUAAUAAUACAUUCCUGCAUGUUUUUGCAAUUCAUGAAUUCCUUUUAUGAUUGAUUCUUCUCACCUUUUUUCUCACCUCAGUGGAAGUGUGAAGAGCCUAAUGUUGCUCAAAAAGAGAUCCAAGUAGUCAAAGUAACAGAGAUAAAAAAUGGGGGGGAUGGAGCAAAGAGGGUAAGUUUUGCUUUUUAUUUAUAAAGUAGGCUGUCUUCACACAAGGAUUAUUAUUAUUAUUAUUGUUAUUAUUUUAAGACAUGAAUGUUGAAUGAUUUUGGAAUUGUCCUUGAAUCAUGUGAAGUGUGAAUGGUCUAAUGCUGCUAAGGAGGAGGUCAAAGUGACAGAAGUAACACAGAGAACAUUUGGUGGUACAGCACAGUGGGUAAGGUUUCAUGUCAUAUUUAAAUGGCUCCUCAUAUUUCACUAGGAUUAAUUUUGCCCCUACAAACUAUUUGGCUACAAGUUAAGACAGAGUUCCAGAUGCUGAUAAAGCUGAGACAUAAGUAAUGAACGAAUUUAGACACAUGCACAACUCUUGUGUGAAACACAAUGAGAGUGGAAAAUAGCUAAGUUGAAAAAUGGCCAAAUACUAUUUUGUAGUUCCCCCUACCACUUAAGUAAUUUUUGUCAUCCUUUGUGAAUGGAAAAUGCAGUCCCUUCAGUAAUUCCAUUAUAUUCAUGACUUGGUGAAGCAUAUAACCAUUAGUGUCUUACCCUAAGUCGACCUUUAAUGAUGAUCCAUUGAGAUGGGUCUGACUUUUGUCAACCCUCUUAUUCCCUUGAUCAUAGAGGUGAAACUUAGGGGGCUUAACCCACUUUUCAAUCUUAUUGGAUAUAUGGCACGUGGUAUCCUCUUCAUCUUGAAAGAGUGAAGUGGUCAUACUCUUUCCUCUGAGUCCAUUGUGGCCAUGCACUUCAGGCUCAUUGGGCUGAGUGAAAGGAUUCCCUUCUGCUUCAAAUCAUAGAGAGAUAUGCCAUGGUCAGCCUCUUUAAUUCAAGGGAUUGAAGUACUCAAAUCCAUUUCUCUGUAUCCAUCUUAGUUCUGCAUUCAUGUCUCAUGGUUAACCAAGAAGAUCCAGCCUCCAUCCAUGAGAUCAGCAUCUGCAGGUUUAUGACACCACCCUUCCUUUGCAUAGGAAAGGGAUCAUUAAGCCAUGUGUCGGAUGACAGAAGUCAUCAUUCAGGUUAUCUUGAGAACUAAGGAAGUUGGAAUUCUAAUUAUUGCAUAUGGUUCUUGAUGUUUAGCCAAUAUACUAUAGGAUUUUAAGCAUCAUGCUCACGUGCAUUGUGGUUGCUUAUCAGCUAUAUGGUUUGCCAAAAUGAGGGACUGAUUAUGGUCAUAAGUACCUUUUUCCCAUUAAUUUCUUGCAUGUGCUCUGCUGAGAUUAUGUUUUUGACAGUCCAAAUCAGGGCAAACCAACAAACAGCUUUAUGUUAACUUUUACAAACUGCCAUAUUUUCAGGUUAAACAAACAGAGAUAAAUCUUGGUGAAACUAGAAGUAAUACAACCUGUGCUGUGGAGAUAAAAGAAAGGGCAGCAGCACUGGUGGCUGCAGAAAUUGAGGCAUGUAGAGACGAUAGAACCCCCAAGAUACCUCUUCAUGAGAAAGUCCAGAAAGAGUGGGCUUGUGCUGUGUGCCAGUUCACAACCCAAACUGAAGCGACCUUCAAUUCCCACCUUCAAGGGAAGAGACAUCAGGCCAUUUCUGAGCAGCUGAGAGCCAAAAAUCAGGCAACCAAAACCAAUUGUUCCCCAUCUGCUUCAAUGGCCAAGAAAUCUGAUCAGUCCACCAAAGAGGAGCAACCGAAGUGUACUUCCAAUCUGAAUUCCAAAAACAAUGGAAUCUCAGCUGCUUCAACAGUGAAGAAACUUGAUGAGACCAAAGAUGAUGAGCAACAAAAGUCUGCAUCUAGCAAUGGACCGAACCAGAAGAAUAACAAAAAGCAAGAGGUACAGACCAAUGAGCAAGGCCGUCAGAAGAACUUAAGGCAAACUGGUGAUGGAAUGAAAGAGUUGAGAUCAUGGUGCAAUAUCUGUAAUGUAAGCUGCACAAGGGAGCUUGACCUGGCCUCGCAUCUCAAUGGAAGGAGGCACUUUGAUAGGAUAAAGCAGCUGUCUGAAUUAUGGUGCAGUAACUGCAAUGUAAGGUGCAACAGUGAGGUUGAUAUGGC
rnacentral:lncRNA from 1 species